CAUUGUGUUUCCAAAAUGAAUAACAAACCUUUUAUCACAAUGUCAUCUCCACCUCUUGCUUCUAUAUAACUCAUCUCAUAUGUCUCUAUAAAAUCCCACUAAAUUUUAUGUCUUGCUAAUCUUAAGUUUUUUAAGGAAAAACAAAAAACAAAUAUGAGCUAUAAUACAAAGUUAGUAGUUCUCAUUUUUCUUCUUUUCACUAUCACCUCCACUGAUGUAUCAAACGCCACCCCUCGUCAUUUUGUGAAUCUCAGGUCGGAGAAGGUAAAAU